GAUGAACGCUGGCGGCGUGCCUAAUACAUGCAAGUCGAGCGAACAGACGAGGAGCUUGCUCCUCUGACGUUAGCGGCGGACGGGUGAGUAACACGUGGAUAACCUACCUAUAAGACUGGGAUAACUUCGGGAAACCGGAGCUAAUACCGGAUAAUAUAUUGAACCGCAUGGUUCAAUAGUGAAAGACGGUUUUGCUGUCACUUAUAGAUGGAUCCGCGCCGCAUUAGCUAGUUGGUAAGGUAACGGCUUACCAAGGCAACGAUGCGUAGCCGACCUGAGAGGGUGAUCGGCCACACUGGAACUGAGACACGGUCCAGACUCCUACGGGAGGCAGCAGUAGGGAAUCUUCCGCAAUGGGCGAAAGCCUGACGGAGCAACGCCGCGUGAGUGAUGAAGGUCUUCGGAUCGUAAAACUCUGUUAUUAGGGAAGAACAAAUGUGUAAGUAACUAUGCACGUCUUGACGGUACCUAAUCAGAAAGCCAUGGCUAACCACGUG
rnacentral:rRNA from 1 species